AAGUUGCAAAGUCAUACCUUUCUGCUCUUGUCAGACAAUUAAGGGGUCUUUGAAUACUUCAGCUCUAAUAAUUUCCUUCCUAACAUACAUAUUGCAGUGCUUAUCUAAUUUUAAAUAUCCUUUUGUUUCAACACCUAAUUUUCUAUUUUGAUCUAUCUGUAUGUUUACAAUAUAUUUUGCUCUGUGUUCAUUCUUUGAUUUCAGAACUUCAAUCUUUCUGAAGCGUGUUUUCAGUUUCGUUUGAGUUUCUUUAGUGGAAUUCUGCUGGUGGUGUUUUGUUUUUUGUCUCUAAAUAUGUUAUUUAGCCAUAGGUUGAUGAAUGUUUUUCUUGGUUGAGAAUUUCAGAAUGGCAUUAUUAUUCUUAACAAAUAAUAUUGUUUAUUUUACCUUUCAUGCUUUCAGAUUUCAAUAUGAUUAAAGGUAAUUUGAUUUUUCUAGUGCUAAUUGAAAUAUUUUUCCCUUCCUGAUUGUUUACUAUUUCUCUAGGAGAUAUGUAGAUGUAGGUUUAUCUCCAUCGUAGCUUGCUUAGCAUGCAUAGAAGUUUUGAAUAUGUGGAUUAGUGUCUUACAAAAGUCUAGAGAACUUUCAGCCAAAAUACCAUCACAUAUUGUCCCUUCCCUGUUCCCUUCCUCUAUGAGAACACUCACUAAACACAUGCUACACUUUCUCACUGUAUCUUCCAUGUCUCUUCAUGAUUCUGUCCACAUUGUGCCUUUUUUAAAAUUUUCUGUAAUGCAUUCUGAAAUAUUUAUGAACUCUCACCAUGGCCAUGUCUAAUCUGAUGAGUUCAUUUUUGAGUUUUUAAUUUAAAAUACUAUAUAUAAACUACUUUUCAAAUUUACUACAUCAAUUUUUUAGUCUCCUAAAAAUAUAUUCAUUUUUUUUUAAUUUUUUGAAAGCAAAUGUGCUUUAUAAUCUAACAGUGAUAUUUCUACUAAUGAACCUUUGUGGAUCUGUUUGUACUCUUUUUCUGCUUUCCUUUCAAAUGGUGGAAUAUCAUUUCCUUGCGUACUUAGAUGCCUUUGAAUGACAAAGAUUUAUUUUUCUCUGAAAAUUAUUAUUGUGCACUUUUGCAUAUUAGAAGAAAAUUUGCCAAAGAGAAUUUGAAUUUUUUGUGAGUCUACUAAAGGCACCACCAUUCUGGGACCACAUUAUAUUAAUUCUUGGCCUAAAGGUGUUUGGACGUAUGUUUGGACAGCACAUUUAAACAAUUUUUAAAUUAAUUGCUGUAAAUCAUUAAUGAUUGAGUUGCUUUAAAUCUGUCCAAUCUCAAGUCAUUUUUAUUUGCCAUUUCCAGGGAAUGUGAAAUGAGACUAAUUUACCUCUGAUUCUUCUUUAGACUGAGGAUAUAAAUUUUGGUUCUAGCUUUAGGGAAGAGCUCCUGUGUGAUGCCCUAUCUUGGGAAACACUAUGUAUUUCUUUACUGUCCUAUGUGAUGUAUGACAGUAGGAAUCUGCAGUCAUUCAUUUUGCUACAUGUCCGUAGGGCAAAAUCAGUUUCAGUGUUUAGGUGUAUUUUGUCUGCUCCCUGCAUUCCCAUGGUUUUGACCUUAUAUUUUACUUUUUUUUUGUGAACGUACCAAUGCUUCAAUUUUUUUCCAGUAAUAUAAUCAACUAUACUAUAAGAGAAAAAUUUUGAUAAAACACAAAUUUCAUGUUUUCCUACUCUAAUUGGCUUUUACGUAAAAAUACAGGUAAAAUUUAUUUGUGCUUUUUUGCUAUUAUUUUUUGCUAUUCUCUGUUUGUCUAUGUCUUCACCACAUAGACACAAUUAGGGAAUUUUGUACACUCUUGUGCCAACUGCUUUGAUAGGAACAAAAUGUAUUUCUCGAACUCCUAGGUAUAAAACUCAAGUAUCCAUGAUUGAAAUUCUUUUUUGCUCACUUCUAUUAUGUUUCCAGUCUCAAUAGAAAUCGAUGCCAAUCCAGAAAUACAAGCAUUAUUCUAAUACUUCUCACACAUUACUGCAGGAGUGAGGACACAGCGAAAGUGAGACAAGGAAAAGAGAACAAAAUAAAACAGGAAAGAUAGAAAAGCCAAUACCACACGUGUUAAGAGUAACAAGCUCCCGUGCUGCUAGAGAAAGUCCUCAGCUAGAAACUGGUGCAAAUUCUGGAGAUGAGACCUUGUAGAGUGUUAAGAAUGGUUUUCUUCCCAGCAGCUACAGGUAAGGAAUAGGGGCUGGGCUAUUAAUACAUCUGCUACAAACCAAUAAAGCCCUUAUGCUCCUUUUGGUGAUCGACAAUGUAUUUAAAAAUAUUAGAUGAUCAAGAAGGACUGCAGAAAGGAGGAAACAGAAACAAACAGCACACCUCUUGGUUUAUUUGUAUUCAUUUCAUCAGUUUCAAGGAAAAUAUGUUGGGAGUUCCUCGCAUAGAGAAUGUCACAAAGACAUGUUUUCAAUAGUAGUGCUAUCCCUAGGGCAGAGAAGACCCAGAGAAAGCCCAAGUGGCUGCUGGAACACAGUCAGACACCGUGCCACCUGUCCACACUCCUUGGCUCUGCCAUCAUGCUGAAGAUCGCUUUAAAGGACUGGCUUCCCUCCCCCCAAAAUGAAUAGAGCACAGACUGAGAAACUGAAUGUGGGAGACAGCAGUGGAUUAUGCUGUUCUCAGGGGUCACCUCAGGUUUGGAAGCAUUCUUUCAAAUUAACCCAUCUCAGGCCAUCUGCAGAGAAGAAAGGUGGUACCUAACUUUUUUCUUGUCAGCAUUUGGUAGGGGUGUUUUAUUGACCAAAUAUGUUCCCACAACCUAGUUUUUUGUGAGUAACUAAAUAUAGUAGAGUUUUAAAUUUUAUCAUCAAAAUCUAUAGACAAUUUUUGAUGAAAAUAGACUCCAUCUCUAUGUCCUGCUUUUCUUCUUCUUAUUAAUUACAUUGCUGUAUAAAAGAACAAGACUUCAGAAUCAAGAAUAUCUUGUCUCUUGGCAUUGAAUUUAUACAAGGUGCUCUUUCUUUAAUGCUGUCUCAAAGGACAUAUUUUUACUCAUUAAAAAGGAAGAUCGGAAUCUAGUUGUAUGCGCUGCUCCAACAUAUUAAUAAUUAAAAUUAGGAGGUAAAUGUGGUCAAAACUAUAGAAAGACUGAGAUGUCAUUUAUAUUGAUUGCUGUAUAGCAUUCUACAAACAGAAAUUGUUAAAUAAGUUUAUAUAAAUAUUUUGUAGCAUUUCAAAUAUUUGAGUGCUUGACGUUUCUCCUCUUCUAUAGUUCAGAUUAUCAAUUUGAAGACUUACUCCGCUAGUUAAAAUGUUUUUAGUCUCGUUCGAGUAUUAUAUAAAAGCAAUUUUCAGUUAAAUGUGUUCCGCUUACAUACAACAUUACAAAUUAUUGAGGAUUUAAUUACUUAUUCAUGUUCCUGUAAUAUCUUUAGAAGAUUUUCUUAUUAUUACCUAUCAAUAUAUGUAUGCUUUGUCAAAGAAAAAUCAAACAUAUAUAUCAUUGAAAUUGAAACUUUUUAAAAGUACUUA
rnacentral:lncRNA from 1 species